GAUGAACGCUAGCGGGAGGCUUAAUACAUGCAAGUCGAGCGGCAAGUUUUGAUAGCAAUAUUGGAACCUAGAGCGGCGCACGGGUGAGUAACGCGUACAUGACCUGCCCUAUACUGGGGGAUAGUCUUGGGAAACUGAGAAUAAUCCCGCAUGUGAUUAGAAUGCUGCAUGGCAAAUUAAUUAAAGCUGAGGCGGUAUAGGAUGGGUGUGCGUCUGAUUAGCUAGUUGGUAGUGUAACGGACUACCAAGGCGAUGAUCAGUAGGGGGCGUGAGAGCGUGACCCCCCACACGGGUACUGAGACACGGACCCGACUCCUACGGGAGGCAGCAGUAAGGAAUAUUGGUCAAUGGAGGGAACUCUGAACCAGCCAUCCCGCGUGAAGGAUGAAGGGGCUCUGCCUUGUAAACUU
rnacentral:rRNA from 1 species